rnacentral:lncRNA from 1 species
CCAAAGGGUCGCUGGGAAAACUAAGCCUUACUGUCCAUCUUGCCUUCAGGAUAAUGUGAAAUAUGGCCUAAUUUUUGAAGUUUUUUUCUUAGAAAUUUUACUGAAUCCAAAAUAAAACAAGAAGAUCAUGAGUCCAGAAUUCUCUUUUCUCAACACUAGAUGGCAGUAGAGUUAAAGAAAAAAAUCCCAGCAGUUCUUUGUACAGGGAUUUGGUGAUUUUUCCCAUAAAGCUGCGAUGAGGAUGAACUCAGAGCAAAAUCUAUGGGGAGUUUUAUACCUGGUAUACUAUUUGUAGCCUUCGUAGAGGGUUCUCCAUUCUAGUCACACCGAUUUCCUCUCUGCUGCAGACAUUGGACACUGGCCUAGUGUUCCAGAAGCUCUGAGUUCAGAGUCCUCAUGUACUAAUGCCAGCAACAGUCAGUUUCACAGUGCCUCUGGCCAGCUGCACUCUUAUGCAACUCAACAAUUUCUCACCUUUUCUCCUUUUAAAAACAAUAUAAGCAACAAAACCACCCAGCUCCCACUGCUGCAUAACCCAGAAGUAUUGGAAAGAUCACUUCAUACAAUUCUUGAGGCAAUCCUGCAGGAUCAAGCAAUUAGGUCCUUGGAGUGGUGGCCAGCUCAUCAAAGCCUCUUUGUACUGGUGCUUCCCCUGAUCCUGUUUUGUUCCCUUGUCCCUCUUUCCUGCUCCUAGCUAGGAUCACACUCCCCAAUAAAGUUUUUGAACAAUGA